UACGUAGGGGGCAAGCGUUGUCCGAAUCAUUGGGCGUAAAGCGCGUGUAGGCGGCUCGAUAAGUCUGCUGUGAAAGUCCAGGGCUCAACCCUGGGAUGCCGGUGGAUACUGUCGGGCUCGAGUCCGGAAGAGGCGAGUGGAAUUCCUGGUGUAGCGGUGAAAUGCGUAGAUAUCGGGAGGAAUACCAGUGGCGAAGGCGGCUUCUUGGCCUGUUCUUGACGCUGAGGCGCGAAAGCUGGGGAGCA
rnacentral:rRNA from 1 species